UCAAAAGUGACAGGAUUUUCAAUAUUGUCCAAAACUACUGCUUUUCGAGCAUCUGUUUGUGUUUGUUUGGUUGCAAGUAAUCCUUAUUUGUCUCAGUCUUCGAAAGAGUUGUUUGUUUUCUAUGUACGUGUGCGCACACAUACAUAACUUAUGCAUACGCAAGCUUGGUUUAUGCCAAAAAGUGAGAUCCACACCUGGUUUCACUAACCCUUGAGACAAAGAAGAAAGCUUUUGAAUAAUAACAAGGGGAACAACACCUGAAGCUGCAACCGCACAAGUUAAUUGAAUAUUCCUCUUUCUUCUUAGAAGAGGCUGAUACAAAACACGAAGAAGGGCCCUUGAGCGUGCCAGCAUUGCAUUUACCCAAGGCCGUCCAACGCUGGCUGCUGCCUCGUAAACAGCGACUUGGUUUUGUGGUGACUCAAAGCCAGGCUAAUCCGCCAUUGCCACAGAAGGAAUCUGAUUGGGGGUUUUCAUCUUGUUAUCUUUGCCUUCAUCAGUACGAGUCUGCCUUACCAAGGCUUUGGGCAAUUCCUCCAGGGAAUGGAAGGAGCCACCGUCAUUUAUUUCUUGGAAGGAGCUAUUGCAGUGCUCGCUGCAGAGUUGCCAUGGAGAUCUGCCUCCGUGUUUCACAAGGACAAAGGCAAAACCGUGAGGAAAGGAUAAAUCCAUCUCAAGCGUAAAGAAAGGGGACAAAUUAAACGAACAAACACUACGUGGCUGAUACAAUCGAAUGUGCAGCACAAUUAAACAGCCAUUACCAAACCUCACCGAAUGUGGCGCUUUCAUUCUGGGCUGUUUGGAGAUUGUUCAGGAAGAGAGGAUAUCCUUGUGCUACCUCAAGCGUCCUCUGAAACUAGCUAUGUUGGUUAAGUCUUCUGACUGGUCCCCUGCUGGUGGGAGGAUGACUCAUGCUCAGAGUGACCUUCUGUCAUACCACCCUCAAUAAUAUUGACAGAGGCUUGCCUGUGGUCCUUACAUUCAUCUUCAUUAGCACUUGGCUUUAAGCAUCAAUGUCAUUGUCCGCUCCUGGGAGGCCUUCACUGCUAUCUCUGCCUCUGUCUGCCCCAGUCGCCACAUCUUUCAUCCUCUUCUUGCCGUGGCUUAGCUUAGAGGGAGCUCAAUCAGACUAUCAUCCGAGACAUGUUUGCCUGCAAUCUGCCCUUUUUAUCUCUGAAAACUAGGGCAAGGAGGAGGAAAACAUUGAUCUUGGAAAAUAAUUGCUUAAAGGGAUACUUCACCUCAAAAUUUGAAUUUGUCAUCAUUUACUCGCCAUUUGACAAGCAAAGAACCGAUGAUGGAUAUUCUUCAGGGCCAAGAUAUUAUUCAAAUUUGAGUUCCAAAGAAGAAAUAAGGUCAUACAGGUUGAGUAAAUGAUGACAGAAUUUUCAAAUAACUUGGUGUGUCAAUUUUAAAAAGAGCAACAGUCUAUUUGGUGUAUGUGUUUAUAUGGUUUGUUGCAGUUACGUUAGCAGUAUUUGUGUCCUAUUCUGUGUACAGUACAUGCGUGUGUGAUCGUGUGCUGCACAGGAGGAGUCAUCCAUCUCCGGUAGUCAGCGUGGGACCUACAGUCUGUGACCACAGGCAGCAGGGCUCUGCCGCACAUCCACGUUCCCAUCAGCUUCAGAGAGGUCAGAACUGAGAGAAGGGGUACGGAUUAUCUUUAUUUCAUGCUGGUAGACUCUCUUCCUCUUUACCUACAAUCCCUUCCCUACUGCUGCUGUCACACCCAGAAAGACGAAACAGAAACGCUCUCCUUUGGUGCUUUAAAUGAGCUGUGUGUACAUCCAGGAAAUGUGCACACCACCGCCUGCCGUACUAACAUGAGCCCGCUGUGAGUUUAAACACAGCUUUCUGAUGACUGCUAGUCGUCGUAGAGGAAGCACCUCUUUAUUCUCUGUCCUUAAUAUAAUGUUUUUAUAAAAAAAAAAAAAAAAAUCAUAACGGUGCAGGAAAGUUUUUAAUGGGGUUUAUAUAAUAAACCUCUUUACCAAGUCCAACUUGGUAUUUCCCAAACAACUUAAGUAUUUACCAAUAAUAUAAAACAAUAUUAGUAAAAGAAAGAGAAAAUGACUUUGAAAGAAAUAUUUCAUGCUCACCACUGCUGCGUUUAUUCAAUCAUUUAGUCUUUAAUUUUUUUUUUUUUUUAGACAUUACUUUCAUAUUUUGGUUUUAUAUGGUUAAUUUUAUUUUAGUUUUCUA